UACAGAGGUCCCGAGCGUUGUUCGGAUUUACUGGGCGUAAAGGGUGCGUAGGUGGCCGGGAAAGUCUGAUGUGAAAUCUCCGAGCUUAACUUGGAAAUGGCAUUGGAAACUAUCUGGCUUGAGGGCCGGGAGGGGAGACUGGAAUUCCAGGUGUAGCGGUGGAAAUGACGUAGAUAUCUGGAGGAACACCGGUGGCGAAGGCGGCAUCCUGGACCGAGAUUGACGCUGAGGCGCGAAAGCUAGGGGAGCAAACGGGG
rnacentral:rRNA from 1 species